UCUAUUGGUCAGUUGGCAAGAUGUCGGCAUAGCUGAGAAUUUAUUUUUGUUUUUUGAAAGGCCGCUAUGCUGCAUCUAGUCAAUUUUUUCA
rnacentral:pre_miRNA from 2 species